CCUACGGGCGGCAGCAGUGAGGAAUAUUGGUCAAUGGGCGCGAGCCUGAACCAGCCAAGUCGCGUGAAGGAUGACUGCCCUACGGGUUGUAAACUUCUUUUAUAUGGGAAUAAAGUGCAGUAUGUAUACUGCUUUGCAUGUACCUUAUGUAUAAGGAUCGGCUAACUCCGUUCCAGCAGCCGCGGUAAUACGGAGGAUCCGAGCGUUAGCCGGAUUUACUGGGUUUAAAGGGAGCGUAGGCGGGUUGUUAAGUCAGUUGUGAAAGUUUGCGGCUCAACCGUAAAAUUGCAGUUGAUACUGGCAUCCUUGAGUACAGUAGAGGUAGGCGGAAUUCGUGGUGUAGCGGUGAAAUGCUUAGAUAUCACGAAGAACUCCGAUUGCGAAGGCAGCUCACUGGACUGCAACUGACACUGAGGCUCGAAAGUGUGGGUAUCAAACAGGAUUAGAUACCCGGGUAGUC
rnacentral:rRNA from 1 species